rnacentral:tRNA from 1 species
AUUUAAAUAGCUUAAUUAAAGAGAGCAUUAUAUUGAAGAUAUAAAGGUAAAAUAAUUUUUUUUAAAUA